CUCUGCCCAUCAAGACAGGCAGAGUUCCUCUAUGAAGCACUUUGAUGUCCAGUUCGCCUUGUGAAUGAGGGUACAAUCCUCUGGAGUCCCAACUUCAGAGGGAAAUCACUGUAAAAGUCGCAGUCUACUGUUGGACAUGAUUUCAGAUGACUACUUCACAGUAUUGGUGAACUUCAUGUUGCUACAUAAUUGAACAAGAAUUGUUUAACAAGGUGAUGAAGAUAGUAUUUCUGAAAACCUUGAGUUCUGAUGCCUUCUAUAAGCAUCAGCACCGACCUGAAUUCCUUAAAGUCUUCUUUUAGCUAAAGCUUUCAUCACACACCUGGACUCUACCUUGGACCUGCCGGAGACUUUAUUUCAUUACUUAAAUCGUAAUUUUCCAGAAGGAAAGUAGAAUAUACAACUUGAAAGCCUGGAUAUCGAAAGGGACAAUGGCCAGACCAUAUAUAAAGUAGACACUGACCCCAACCUCUGCAGUCACCAACUGGGAAAGACAAACCAAGAUCCUACUGCAGUCUACUACCCUGUGGGUAAAACAGAAAAAAAGAUGGAACUAUUGAAGCUUUUUGGAAUGGAAUAAAAAAUUUCUUUUGACCACAUUGGGGACUUAAAGCCAUCAGUGUAACAGUAGACUUUUAAUCUUACUUUGUCAAUGGAAAUAAACUUGAAAUUAAAGACAAUUAGAAAACAGAAAUUAGAAUGGAAGUAAACCUUUACCUGUAUUACAAAAACUGCCAGAACAUUUUGAAAGGUCUCUAGAACAAAAGAGAAAACCCCCCAAAUAAGCUUACAUCAAAAAGGUAGGUGGCCUACUUCCUAACAGCCCAUCUAUUAACAAGGACACAUAUUAUAAAUAAAACUACUUGAAGGAAAAAAAAAUGGAUCUAUUUUACAAAAGAAAACAGAGACUAAGACAAAUCUUUUGACUUAGAUCAGUGAGGGUGUUCUUGAGAAAGGAAAAAGCUCUUAAACUUUCAAGUUGAAUUAACUACAAAGAUAGAUGAUAAACCUAAUUAAUUCCUGGCAGAUACUGGAGUUACAUUUUCUGCAUCAGAUCUGACAUUUUGUUCAACCUCUUCCCUGGAGUAAUAAACCCUAGUCUAUAAUCAGACCCAUUCAGUCCCCGGUGGCAAACCUUUCUUCCUGCUAUGUGACACCAUUCCUGGAAAUUUAAAAAGGAAAGACUUUGCAAGUGGAAUUGUUAUACUGAAAGCACAACAGAGGGACUGGUAAUGAGGUUUCAGAGGAUCUCAGAAUAAAGUGCCUGCUCUGGA